rnacentral:rRNA from 1 species
UACGGGGGGGGUAAGCGUUGUUCGGAAUUACUGGGCGUAAAGGGCUCGUAGGCGGCCAACUAAGUCAGACGUGAAAUCCCUCAGCUUAACUGGGGAACUGCGUCUGAUACUGGAUGGCUUGGAUUCGGGAGAGGAAUGCGGAAUUCCAGGUGUAGCGGUGAAAUGCGUAGAUAUCUAGAGGAACACCGGUGGCGAAGGCGGCAUCCUGGACCAACACUGACACUGAGGAGCGAAAGCCAGGGGAGCAAACGGG